UACGAAGGGAGCUAGCGUUGUUCGGAAUUACUGGGCGUAAAGGGCGCGUAGGCGGCCCGACAAGUCUGAUGUGAAAGCCCUGGGCUCAACCCGGGAAUUGCGUUGGAUACUGUCAGGCUUGAAUUCGGUAGAGGUGAGUGGAAUUCCCAGUGUAGAGGUGAAAUUCGUAGAGAUUGGGAAGAACACCAGUGGCGAAGGCGGCUCACUGGACCGACAUUGACGCUGAGGCGCGAAAGCGUGGGGAGCAAACAGG
rnacentral:rRNA from 1 species